CCCCAACCUAACCCCAACCUAACCCCAACCUUUUUUUUUUUUUUUUUUUUUUUUUUUUUUUUUUUUUUUUUUUUUUUUUUUUUUUUUUUUUUUUUUUUUUUUUUUUUUUUUUUUUUUUUUUUUUUUUUUUUUUUUUUUUUUUUUUUUUUUUUCGCGCUCUUGCCCCCACCCAGCCGGAAACUCUCGUCGGCGUACCACGAUGUCGCCCACAGGUGGAACGGUUGUCCCCCA
rnacentral:misc_RNA from 1 species